AGCAGCUCGUCCCCGCCUGCCCCUGCCCAGGUUUUCUCUUCAACAUACGCCCCGCAAGCACCUUGGGGUGAGGCAGGGGGUGGCCAGCCCCAUCCUCGGGAAGCACACGCUCGGCCCUCCGAGAGAAAUAAAGGCGAGGAUAGGAGUGGACGAGGGAUGGGGCAGGCAGAUGGCAGCAUGGGAGAGAAGCCUGGAGGCGCCCGGGCCAGCAGGGCAUCGAGGAUAUAUCCCACGGUGCCCGCAGGCUGGGGGUACCCCCGAGCGCAGAAAAAAAUCCGAGACAGCUAGCUGAGCUCCAACCCGGGAAUUCAGAGUCCUCAGCAGGAGGCAGGACAAGGCCACAGGCUGAGGAGGUGGCAUGACACAUGCCAAGAGUGGGGGCAAAGGAGGAGGACAGCUCUGGGCAGGGAGGGGCCCUGGCUUGUGGCAGCAGGCACAGGAACUAGCCAGACAUGUGGGCAGGGGUCUCCCUGUCCUCUCCAGGCCCUAACGGGUAGCUGAGAACCAGCAACACAACUGCCCCGGCCUGACCUCGUUCACUGAGCAGACUCCGUGCAGGGCCUGCGCUGCCCGGGCCCCACGCCAGGCGAGCUAGAGCCCAGAGGCAUCUGCAGUGACGCUGGCCUCACCGGCUGCCCGGGCACAGGAGGAGACGACAGACAGGGAAGCCCAGCAACGCGGGAGGAUAAGCAGGGUGACACCUGAGGGAUGCGCUCCGAGCUGUGGGCCAGAAGCAGCAUAGAUGGGCAGGGCAGUGAGGACCCUUGCCAGGAACUCCCGGACCCCUCACGGCCUGCUGUGGAGACACCAGCUUCAGGGUCCUGCAAGCAAGGAUGGCCGGCUCCCAAACUUUGCGAUCUGUGAGCUGGAAACUUCGACGACCCUAGUACUUCAAAGGGCGGCAAGCUGGCCGCGUGACUUGACACGGCUGGGCCCCACCCGCGUUUCCCUCCCCGUGGCCAAGUGGCUUUGGGAGCUGGCCCAGCGCUGA
rnacentral:lncRNA from 1 species